rnacentral:lncRNA from 1 species
CCGAUAGCUACGAUCAAUGCAGAAAAUCCCACCAUCACUGGAGAUUCUGAUGCAUGACAAAGAUCUCAGUCAAGGACUUGUUCGACUUUUCAACGCACCAUCGCUACGAUCCUACCAAAUCAAUCGAAUCUGCAUUAGAACCGACCAAACAAAUAACUAGUUGACAUGUAGCUGGCUCAAACUGCUCGAGAAUCAUUAUUCUACCACA